GAAGCUGGAUGAGGAGAUUGUGAGGAUCCAGAAUGAAAAUGUCAGUAAACUCUCCAAGCAGAUUUCCCAUCUCAGUGAGCUGCUCAAUGAGAUGGAGGGGAAGUGUCAGAAGCCAGCGAGUGAAUUCCUACAGGACGUCAGAACCACCUUGAGCAGGUGUGAGAAGGG